rnacentral:rRNA from 1 species
GGAAAAGAAACCAACAGGGAUUGCCCUAGUAACGGCGAGUGAAGCGGCAACAGCUCAAAUUUGAAAUCUGGCUCUUUCAGAGUCCGAGUUGUAAUUUGCAGAGGGCGCUUUGGCGUUGGCAGCGGUCCAAGUUCUUUGGAACAGGACGUCACAGAGGGUGAGAAUCCCGUACGUGGUCGCUAGCCUUCGCCGUGUAAAGCCCCUUCGACGAGUCGAGUUGUUUGGGAAUGCAGCUCUAAAUGGGAGGUAAAUUUCUUCUAAAGCUAAAUACUGGCCAGAGACCGAUAGCGCACAAGUAGAGUGAUCGAAAGAUGAAAAGCACUUUGGAAAGAGAGUCAAAUAGCACGUGAAAUUGUUGAAAGGGAAGCGCUUGCAGCCAGACUUGCCUGUAGUUGCUUAUCCGGACUUUUGUCCGGUGCACUCUUCUGCGGGCAGGCCAGCAUCAGUUUGGGCGGUUGGAUAAAGGUCUCUGUCAUGUACCU